AUUGAACGCUGGCGGCAGGCCUAACACAUGCAAGUCGAGCGAGCGGCGGACGGGUGAGUAAUGCCUGGGAAUUGCCCAGUCGAGGGGGAUAACAGUUGGAAACGACUGCUAAUACCGCAUACGAUUGGAUUGCCCAGGUGGGAUUAGCUAGUUGGUGAGGUAAUGGCUCACCAAGGCGACGGUCCCUAGCUGGUCUGAGAGGAUGAUCGGCCACACGGGAACUGGGACACGGUCCAGAUCCCUACGGAAGGCGGAAGGGGGGAAUAUUGCACAAGGGGUGAAACCCGGAUGCAGCAAUGCGGCGGAUGUGAAGAAGGCCUUCGGGUUGUAAAGCACUUUCAGCGAGGAGACGGUACUCGAAGAAGAAGCACCGGCUAACUCCGUGCCAGCAGCCGCGGUAAUAC
rnacentral:rRNA from 1 species